GACGAACGCUGGCGGCGUGCUUAACACAUGCAAGUCGAACGGAAAGGCCCUGCUUUUGUGGGGUGCUCGAGUGGCGAACGGGUGAGUAACACGUGAGUAACCUGCCCUUGACUUUGGGAUAACUUCAGGAAACUGGGGCUAAUACCGGAUAGGAGCUCCUGCUGCAUGGUGGGGGUUGGAAAGUUUCGGCGGUUGGGGAUGGACUCGCGGCUUAUCAGCUUGUUGGUGGGGUAGUGGCUUACCAAGGCUUUGACGGGUAGCCGGCCUGAGAGGGUGACCGGCCACAAUGGGGAGGGAGUGGCGCCAGAGCCCCCACGGGGGGGAGGGGGGGGGAAUUGUGGAAAAUGGGGGGGAGCCUUGAGGAAGCAACGCGGGGGGGGGAAGAGGGCCUUUGGGUUGGAAACCCGUUUCCGCCUGGGAGAAGGGGGGGGGGCGGGAAAGGGAAAAAGAAGCCCCGGAUAACUAGGC
rnacentral:rRNA from 1 species